rnacentral:rRNA from 1 species
UACGUAGGCAGCGAGCGUUGUUCGGAGUUACUGGGCGUAAAGAGUGCGUAGGCGGUUUUCUAAGUUUGGUGUGAAAUCUCCCGGCUUAACUGGGAGGGUGCGCCGAAAACUGGAAGGCUUGAGUAUGGGAGAGGUAAGCGGAAUUCCUGGUGUAGCGGUGAAAUGCGUAGAUAUCAGGAGGAACACCCGUGGCGAAGGCGGCCUUCUGGGUCCGCCCUGACGCUGAGGCGCGAAAGCGUGGGGAGCGAACGGG